GUGCUAGCUUCGGCAGCACAUAUACUAAAAUUGGAACGAUACAGAGAAGAUUAGCAUGCUCAAGGAUGACACGCAAAUUCGUGAAGUGUUCCAUAUUAAA
rnacentral:snRNA from 1 species